UCGUCGUCGACCGGAAAGGUCGGCUCACUGUUAACACGGCCGAAUUCUGAUUCACUCGUCUCCCAUCCAAAGAUGCCUCUCCUCACACUCGAUUCUUCCUCACCACAGUUCCAUCCUCAAUAUACAAUAUACCCGUUCACGCGCGUGAAUUUCGAAUUCACGAGGAAUCUCGAAACUGUGAACACUCGAGCUUCACUUCCGCGAUUGAUUCGUCAAAGAACAAAAAAGAAAUCUUCCAAUCCGGUUCACAAAAUCAAGUCUUGACUCCGAUUCAUUACAAUCUCACUCCCGAGCAACAAUCUCGGAAGAGAGAUCUCACCUGAACGACCCGAACGUACAACAAUUCAAAAGAGCACAACGGCCAACGGAUUAACCAACAACGACACACCGAAAGAGAACGACGAAAUUCAUAUCGCGAAACGAAGAAAAAUCAUAUAUAUGUAUAUAUAUGUAUAUAUAUAUAUAUAGUAUAUAUAUAUAGUACAUAUACCUUUUACAGCUUUGAAUUACUAUUAAAUAAAUCUGUGAAAUUGUUCCUCGAUCGCGAUUCGAAACGAUUGAUAUAACGUGUAUACACGAUGGUGUGUAACGUAGAAAUGUACGGGUUAUGCGUGUACGAAACGCGUUUGGCGAGCAGACAGGCUGGUGUUGUAGCUCGUCAGGCGGCGCGGUUCGAAUGGAGACGCAGCACACGUGCCGCUGCCCUGGCCUGGUGCUCGUCGACGAUCGGCCGCCGCCACCACCACCAGCUGAUCAUCCGGGAGUGACUAGUGCCACUGACUCUGCCUGUGGCCUGUGCUCACUGACUAACUGCACGACUGAACAGUUCCUCCGGUAGAGGCUGCCAGAGCAGGACGCGACGACGGCGUUCGAAUUGCGCCUGCUGGCCCUGCUGCGCUUAGAAAUAAUCGAAAGUGAUGGAAGAAACUCAGGGCAACGAAAGCGUAUACGUGGCAAUGAUUAAUUUUCAUAGCGUGAUAUGUAGUUGGGAAUUCACAUGCCUAGCGUGUGGAGCUAACGACGUUUGGCAAAUAAUAAAUUGACGAUACAUCACGCUGCUGAUGACGUAUUUCCGAUUGCAAUAGCAACGAAUGGACCAAAGAACUAUCGACGAACGAUUCGGUGCCAUUUCCAUUGUAACUGAUCAACCGAUAAAAUAUUUAUUAUAAUUCAUUUAUGAACGAUGUACAUGCGUAUUAAUGAAUCUUUAUUAAGAUAUGAUUUUAUCGUUUAUUGACGAAAAUUGAGAAAGUUCAAGAUCGAGGCUAGGAAAAUUUGAGGAUAAUUUCAAUUUUUUUUAGAAAAUUAACGACUUUGAAGGAAAGAAAAAUUAAUGAAAUGGAAGAUAUUUUUCUAAAAAUAUAAAAAUUUGUUCAACGUAUAGUUAGAAAAAAUUUUUUAAAUUAUAGAGGUAUAUUUGCAGUACAUAACGAAAUAAACGAAAAAGUUAUCUCGAAAGAAAUAUUCUACGGUAUUCGUUGUGGAAGAAGAAACUCGAUCGAAACGGAGCAUUCACUAAGUUAGUCGAACUGAUAAAAAAUAAAUUAUACCGAUGCAAAUGUUUGCAAAGUGAAACAGAAGUAGGUAAGUAUACAUAAUAUAGGGCGAUACGUUUGCCAGGAGGCAUUCGAGUGCACCUGUACUCGCAGCUUCCGAAAUCGAUUUCCUACGAAACAAUGCCUCCUUCGACGAAGAAAUUUUGCCCCACUCUUGUGACGAAUCGUAACUGCAUUUCUACGUAAAGUAAAUAAAGAUUAUUGUUGAAUAACGAUGUAAUGAAAACAAGAAAGUGAAUGUAAACUGUUAUUCGAUCGAUAAGAACAUUAUUGAAUAACAUUCCUACGUAUGAUUUAACAAUUAAGAGCAGAUAUAAAAAGAUUGCGUGGGUAUAGGGAAACUAAAAUUUUGGAAAGAAUUUUUUAUCAAUUACUGAAAUUUUAUUUUAUUAAUUUAUAGA